CGAACCUGCCUGAGAGCGCGGAAUAACCCUGCGAAAGCAGAGCUAAUACCGCAUGUGGUUGUUAGAUGGCAUCUUUUAACAACUAAAGUCGCAAGACGCUCUCAGAUGGGCCCGCGGCCUAUUAGCUAGUUGGUGAGGUAACGGCCCACCAAGGCAUUGAUGGGUAGCUGGUCUGAGAGGACGGACAGCCACACUGGGACUGAGACACGGCCCAG
rnacentral:rRNA from 1 species